CACGUAGGGUGCGAGCGUUGUCCGGAAUUAUUGGGCGUAAAGAGCUCGUAGGCGGUGUGUCGCGUCGGCCGUGAAAACCUGCAGCUUAACUGUGGGCUUGCGGUCGAUACGGGCAUCACUGGAGUUCGGCAGGGGAGACUGGAAUUCCUGGUGUAGCGGUGAAAUGCGCAGAUAUCGGGAGGAACACCAGUAGCGAAGGCGGCACUCUGGGCCGGUACUGACGCUGAGGAGCGAAAGCGUGGGGAGCGAACAGG
rnacentral:rRNA from 1 species